GGCUGAGGUUGCAGCACAGUGAAUAUACAAGAGCCAGAGUGACCUGGGCAAGUGGAUAACGAAUCGUCAGGAUUACACGUGGUGGCAGAAGGACGAGGUUUAGAGUGGAAUUAUCGAGCUGAUGAUGGGAAAGUAUCGCUGCAUUCUACCGAGCGCAGCAGGAGGAAUCAACUCAUUUUUGGGAAGCAUAAGAAGGAAUGAAGAAGGCCAAGUUCAGCAUCCCUUGGGGUGCUCUGAUGUGAUGAACUCACGGAUUAGCCCAAGCCCAUUCCCACUCCCGUAGCUGCAUGGGAUCUGAUGGCAGCCUGCAGCUCACCCCCAACAGAGCACAGCGAUACAGGUCAGCUCAUCCAUAAACACCACCAGGCACCGAAACAGAGGCAAAGAAGAACAUACAGCCAGAGCACAGAGCGUGUUAACAGGUGUACAGGUUCAAGCUCCUAUUCCGUGACAACCUUUCUGUGGGCAAGUCAAUCAGUUUCUCUGUGCUGCAUUUAUGUAUUCAUAAAUUCAGAAUGAAACUAGUUUAUGGUCUCACAGGGCCACUAUGAAAGGCAAAUCAUAUUAAAUACUGUAACCUACUCUAGUACUGUGACACCAGCAGCAAUUUAAGAAGCAAAGAGAGAAAGAGGGAGGUUUUAUACACAGUUUGCCUUUGCGGGAGAUGAAGCGCAGACAGUGAUGUCACCCCUAAGGAGAGCAACACAACACUGGAAACAUUUGUGACUUCCUCCAUAGUAUACCCAGCGGCUGCCCACCACCUGCCAAGAGGCCAUCGAGAAGGGCGGCCAGGCUCUGUAUGGUGCUGCAUGGCAGUAGGACAAGAGACAACAUGAAGCGAAACAAGGGACCAAGAGAGGUUCAGACUCGCCAGAAGGAGAAGCUUUCCCCAGAAGGGAGCAUUUUGAAGCUGAGCCCUCUGUGAGCAGGAGAUUACUCUGGAAACCUCCUGAGGUCCCUUCCCACCUCCUCAGGCCUCUUCCUCCGCCAGUCAAAAUAGAAUCACGGAAUCAUAGAAUGGCCUGGGUUGAAAAGGACCACAAUGAUCAUCAAGUUUCAACCCCCCUGCUAUGUGCAGGGUCGCCAACCACCAGACCAGGCUGCCCAGAGCCACAUCCAGCCUGGCCUUCAAUGCCUCCAGGGAUGGGGCAUCCACAGCCUCCUUGGGCAACCUGUUCCAGUGCGUCACCACCCUCUGUGUGAAAAACUUCCUCCUAAUAUCCAACCUAAACCUCCCCUGUCUCAGUUAAAAAAGAUAUAUAUCCUUGUCUUUGUUAAUGGCAAAGAAGGAGAGAUCACUGUGGAAAGGUAUUCAUGUUUUAAAAGAUUGUUUAUGCAGAUAUCAUAUCUGGAAAAAGUCCCUGCUAAGUGCACCGUAUCUGUUAAACACCUGAGGACAUGGAACAAGUCCUAAUGCGGUGCCUGGUUCAUACUUCUCAGCAGAUAUUAUCUCUUAAUUUCUUUUACAUGGCAGAUGAGAAGGUAUUUUCCCUUCAGUCAGAAACAAACACGCAUUUGUUUCCGACAUCACAGGUACCGCUGAGAAAUGGGCUUCCUGCUGUGUUUUUUCUGUUCCUGUUUUGAACAAUACAUAAACUAUCCUAUUAAGAACAGAAAAAGGGCCUGGAGUUAGAAAUGCCUCUAUCUACAACAAUACCUCAGGACUGCUGGCAUUACAACACUAUCACAUAUGCAAGCAACAGUAGUAAGAUGUCAAGGAGAUAAAGGAGGAACCGGAGAUGGUAUUUCCAUGAAUGAAAAUGAAAAUAUGUGCCAUGGCAAGUCCCUGGCUGCCCUGCUAUCUUUCCACCAGCUGUGUGUAGGUGUUUCUGCUGGGCUGAGGGAGAGGUGCGGGCUCAGAGGAGCAGCUCUUCUGUGCAAGCAGUGGAAAGGGCAGUGUGUGUGUGCAUCCUCGGGCGACCAGCCCGUACAGACCUGAUGGAGCUUGACUGAGGGUGUUAUUUAUUUCUUCUUUUCAUGAACUCCUCUGUGAGCCCACAGGAAGACACUGUCUCAAAUAGGCGUUCGUCUCUCCAUCCUUCUCCUCUCACUUACUGGUAGCUACAACUCUGUGACAGCCUGAUGGGAGCCCUUGGGAACUGUUCUUGCUUACUUGUAAAGAAGUAUAAAACUCUGUUCUGAAAUUAAAAAGAAAAUAUUAAGGUUGAAGAAGAACUGGGUGGUGAAUUAAGCUGAGAAAAACGCCUGUAGGAAAUUCACAGUGAAUGCUCCUUUGUCCAGAGUUAGCCUCUCUCAGGCAUGUUCCCUUACACAGUGUAUGCCAACAUAUAGAUUUGUGGAUUGUUUUUUAUUUGUACAGGUGAACAGUGACAAUAAUUCAUGGUUCAGGUUGUCUAGAGGACUGGGAAGUAAUGAUAAUAGACUUAGUUCCUUCAGUAGUGUCCAAAAAGUGAUGGUUAGAGCUGAAUAAUUCAGAAAGUUUUCAGGUAAUCUUAGCUUAGGCCCUGAUCUUCCCAAGGCAAUGCUCAUACUUCAUUUCUGGCUUGCACAGUCACGCUGAACGCAAUGGCAGCAGGGUAACACAUCUGAAGCUAAGCUUAUCAUAAAUCAACUUUCUGUAUCAGGGCCUCUAUCACAGUCUGUUCAGAGAUAUGCCACAGGAAAAGAAAAAGGGUAAAUAAGUUUGCUAUGGCCCCAUUUAAAUUCCUUUUGUGUUCGUUUCCUCUGACAGUUUGGGAAAUAGACCUUCAGUAAUAAAAAAAAAGAAAAUACAGAAAAGAAUGAGAAAACAGUGAUAGAGAAGGAUGAGGAAACAGUGUUUAAAGCCACGUGUAAGUUCUUGUGAAAACCAAAUAGUGUGUUUGCAUAUGCUAGCAUUCAGGCUAGGUGUUCCCGCACGAUUCCUGUCAGGAAAAAGAUACCAUGCAUAUGAUUUAUCAGGCAGCCACCGACUAUGUACUGUGGAUAUUUGCUUUCAAUCCACCGAGUUCAAGAUUAGAAAAGGUAUCUGUUGAAUUCAUUUGAAUAGCAAAUAGACUGGGGAAUCACAAUCUGUUCCUAGCUAUUCAAUGGAUGAUAACCGGUAAUUCAUUAAAUAUAUUAGUCUCUCCAUUCUAAUAAUUAUUAGAGCAGAGACAGAAGUUUGAAAACAAUCAUUUCGAGAACAGUGCAGCAUUUCUAUGUGCAAGUGAUAAGUGACAUAUUUCAGCACGUGCGCUCCUUGGCUUCUGGAUCAGCCACAGUCACCUCGUGACAAAUCUCCUCGGCUGCUGCUUGGUGGAUAGCUGGCAGUGCACCCCACACAGCACAGGUAUGAGGACUUCUAAGAUCAAAGCAGAAGUUAGCAACGUUAUCCAUGUGGCAUUACAUCUUGACCCCUGCGUGUAUGUACAGUUACGGAAGUUAGUCACCUGCAGUGCUUACAAAUUAAUUUCAGCAAACAGUUGAGUUGAUCGGCACUGUGAGCACAAGGAAGCAGACCUUGGGCAUUUUCAUCUUGCAUGAAACCAUGAACGAAAGGACUUUGAGGACAACUGGUAGGGAAAAAAAAAAAAGCAAAAGCACUUUUGGGAGAGGAGAGCGCUGAGAUCCAUCAGUAUUCAGUAUUUCUGGGAGGAAGGCUCUAUCUGUAGGGAAUCUGGCCAGGACUAAGGCAGGUUUGUGAUCUCCUUUCCAGGCAGCUUUUCCACAGGGUGCUCAUCCUGUUGGAAUUGCGGCUGGAAGACCACAGCCUUGCAUGGUGACUCAUAAUUUGGAGAACCAAGUAGAAAUUCAGCCUCUCUGAUUCACAGAGGAUUUAGGAAAUGCUUGCUCUUAGCUCAGAAGCCAUUUCAUCAGCUGAAGGCAGAAGCAGGUGGAUGCCCACAGAAACAUCUGGAAAGUCAGCAUUACACGUGGAAAGAAGACAGAGCACUAAGAGAGAUGGCAGACUGCCAUUCUGUUUUCACUCAGUUAAUAUGUUCCCUCCUCCACUUGCUCACUAUGUCUUUCCAGGCUUCAUAAUCUCUGGUGGACAUACCAAGGGGUGGAGCUGGGCUGGCAACCAUCGCCAUGCAUCACUGCUCCUACAAACACAUAGUACUAGUAUGGGCAGACGGCAUCGUUGUGCUGAUCAUCAUCCUCUGAGUCAGCCAUUUGCAAACACCUUCUCCAGGCUGUCAUCUUGCCACUAGGAAUUCAAAAUCUGAGUCAGAACCCAAUUUAAACUGCUAUAAUUAACAGUCCCGAUUUAACUGAAUCUCACAGUUUGUCAUGUUGCAUUCUCUGUGUACAUCUGAAAAUCUCUCUCCAGGGCUCCCAGAGAGCCUCAGUGGUUCCAGGCUCCCACCAAGACCAAGUCCAAUAGCCACCAAACAAACCUGUCCUUGCUGGAUUCAUCUCACCAUUAAAUACAGAAAUAUCACAGAUGAUGGGUUGGAUGUUGACGUGGACUUUUCUAUAAAUACUGCUGAUGAGGGCAAAGCCUGGGUGCCACAUGAAGGAAAGAAGGGUGGAAGUAUCUCACUUGCUCAGAAGCCCCAAAAAACUUAGAAUGGUUGAGACUCCUACGAAGGAGAUAAUUAUACACUGCACAAGCUAAAAACAAGCACUUUUUUUCUUUAUUGUUUCUAAAUGAUGUUAUUAUGAAUGAAAAUUCACUCUGAGGAAGGUCUCCAGUUACUGUGGAUGCUUAGGAGAGCCCCUGAGUUUACUUUUAGGGAACACAGUGCUAUUGCAAAUAAGGUGACCUGGGGACUAUCUGAUGGUUUUGCAGCCAUAAGUGACAGCAAGCUGGACUGUGGGUGGAAGUGCAUUUUUGAAAACACUUAUUUUUACGAUUUAAGGAGGAAUUUUUAUGUCCUCUGCUUUUUUUCUUUACUUUCAUCUGACCAUCAGGGAGCACUUCUGUGCUGCACAGGUGGCAGAACAGUGGCACAGGCUGCCCAGAGGCUGUGGAGCCCCCUCUUUGGAGCUCUUCAGAAGAUGCCUGAGCACUCUGCUCCAGGCGUCCCUGCUUGGUCUGGGGUUGGGCCAGAUGGACUCUGAGGUCCCUACCACCCCCAGCCUUGAUGGAAUUCUGUGAUUCCUUUCAAUUCUCUGAAUGAUGGAUUUAGUCUUUUGUGUUGUGCUGCUAUUGUUUUUGCAGAGCUAUUUCAAGGCUGCCACUGUGAGCUCCCCUCUCAACCUAAGUGCUGCACUACUGUAGCUGGAGAGCCAUCCACUUACCGUUCACAUAGGCGAAACAUUUGAGGGACAUAAAGAGAGGGACUCUUUAUCCGGGAGUGUAACAAUAAGACAAGGGAUAACGGCUUUAAACUAAAAGAGGGGAGAUUUAGAUUAGUUGUUUGGAAGAAAUUCUUCACAGUGAGGCUGGUGAGGCACUGGAGCAGACUGCCCAGAGAAGCCAUGAAUGUCCCAUAGCUGAAAUUGCUCAAGGCCAGGUUGGAUGGGACUUUGGGCAACCUGAUCUAGUGGAAGCGGUCCCUACCCACGACAGAGGACUUGGAACCAAAUAGUCUUUCAGGUAUCUUCUAACUCAAGCAAUUCUGUGAUUCUUCAGUUCUACGACUCUAUGAAGAGAUUGCCUCAAUUUCAUAUAGCAGAUGAUCAGACAAGUUGGGAUUAUUGCCAUGGCUUCAAAUCUGCUUGAGAUAGUCUGUGCCCUAAACUACACUUAUUUAGCUGCCUUGAUAUUUCGCUGUCAUUCCUCUUCAUCCUGAGCUUCCCAUGUACACCCACUAGGGAUUUCAUUCUGUGAACACUUCCAGCUGAAACUGUACCAUGGAAUUUUUAAUGAUACUUAGACAUUGCCUCGCUUUCUUUCAGAAAUAUCUACAUGUCAAAAAUUAUGGACGUUUCUAAAGAAGUCACUGAGCUAAAGACUUCUAAAGAAGUCACAUCCUGUCAUGCCAGAUGUGUCAAACCUUCAUGUUUCAGCGCUGAUCAAUUUACUGUCUUCUCAUGACGUUGUCGUCAUUAUUUUAGCAUGAGUUUUACAUAUCAGCAUAUAAAUUAUCAUUGUAUAUCUUUGGAGACAAAGAGAAACGCAUUUUUUGACGAUAGGAUUUUAAAUAUCUUGAAUGUAUUUCCAUACUGAAUCAGGAAAGUGUUCCUCAUAUCUAACUCUGGUUUUUCAUUGGCUUUUAGAUACUGUGUGCAUACAUUAUGUCAUAUUUAUAGUAGUAUAUGUCUGUACAUAAACUUACACAUACGCAGAAAAAAAAAUCAAAUCAAGAUGUCAUUUAUACUCUCAAUGACCAAGCUGGGGAACAAAAUUUUGCCUCAUCACACAUCUUUCUACUUCAGUGAAUUAUUUUUAUUGAUGUCACAAGUCUUAAUUUUAAAUCCAGUUUUGAUGAAAAAAGUAGCUGAUCAUCUGCCCUGUUAUUAUACAAAAUACAUUUAUAUCGAGUGGUAGGAAAUAUAAUUUGUAGAAUGAUUAAUUACAUAAUGAUUAUAGUGGAGAAAUAUAUUCUCUAACAAAAUUUGUUAAAUGGAGGAAUUUAAUAUGAAAUAGUAGAUUUCCAAAUUUAUACAAAUAACACCAGAUGGUGAGUAGCUAGUUUUAAUUAAAUUAAGUUUGAUAAUUAUAGCUGAUUAAUUUUUAGGUUUGACUCAGAUUAGAAAGAAUGCACUAUUUUCCUGUAGAUUUAUUUUUAGCUCCCUUGCAAGGCUGUGAAUAUCAGUGUGUGCUGAGGUCCGGCCAGGUCCCACAGCUGCCAGCUCGCAGCAUCUCUGUGGGACCCAGCGGUGCUCCUGCAGCUGGGAGGAUGCUCGGGCCAGGACUACCUGAUGGAAGUCAGAAGUAGUUUUGCCAAUGGAAGAAGGAGGAAGUUUCUGCCGCAGGACCAAAAUAUGUUUUCACAACCCAAUCUACUGACUCAGCUGCUUUGAACAAAGAGAAAAGCUCAACGUGACCUCUUUGCAUAUGCACACAAUUGCACAUGCUGCAGCUUGUGUCCUGGGACAUCUUCUCAGGGAGGAACAUGUAAGGGCUGAAGCCUGGAAGCAAAGAGUCCCAGAGCUUGUCCCCCACUCUAGCACACUCGGUCUCAUCACUGCUUUCCAUAAGACCGUCUGACCUGGUCCCACAGUUGAUCUGACCAGGUCCCAGUGGUUCCACUGAACCACAGAAAUAUGCUUAAAGCCACGAAUGUGUACAAGCUCUUUUCAGACUGUGGAAAGAGACCAAAUCUUACUCUGCAGGACCUACAACCUGAUGCUCCGUGCUCACCGCUCUGUGGGAAUCACCUCCCACCUUUGGAUCAAGUGAAGUGUAAUGUGGACAAAUCAGAAUCCACACAGGCCUUUCUCACUGAUACAGGCUUUGCAGUUUCAGCUACAAGACCAAGUGAACAUUUUCAUCAUUUUUUUGGGCUACAUCUGCAAAAUGGGUGCUGGCUUCAGAGAUGUCUGGGAAGGAUCAGUUUCUCCCUAGCAGCAAGAGGCUGAAUGUAAUGCUUGUCUGAGAGUAACUGUGAGACAUUUUCUUUUUCUGAUGAUCAGGGAAGGACUCAUUCAGCAUGCUUGAGCUUGUGGUGUGCUUCUCAACUGCUUGGGCUGUUAACCUGUCUCCUGGUGCCUGUACACCAUAAAAAGAAGUAGGGACUGAAAAGAUUUGAUUCAUUGUCUCAUCACAGCACAAAAGUACACUGAAUAUUGUAAUUAUAAUUAAAUAUUGUAAUUAUAAUUGAACAUUACAAUUUAAAAAUUGAAUAUUGAAUUAAACAGAGUUUUAAAUAGAUGCCUACAACUGCUCUAAGCUAUCAGGUGCUUCUGACUUCCAGCAAAUAACACGUUAGGCUACAGGAAGCCAGUCUGAGAGCAUACUCUCCAUUCUGGAUGAUAUGAAACUUAAAAGAUGCCUUAAAUAAUUUCUCACUGCAGAGCUUUCUCAGAGCCAGCACUUGGACUGGCACUCAGGCAAGGUGGUGCUGUCCUGCCUCCUCCCUCUCAAGUCCCUUCUCUUUUAUCUCAGUUUUCUCUCUGCAGGGUUCUUCUUCCAUUAUCUGCCUAGUGCAAAUCCAGUCUCCUCCUCUGCUUUCUUUUUUGUGUGCGUGUGCUGAAAAGUGGCCUCCCUGAAUUUGUGUUAUAUUGAUUAUGUAAAUCAGCGCUUCUCCUCUAGAUUGCUUUUUCUUUGUGAACUGGGAGUAUAAUUUGCAGUCUUCUACCUGAUAAUUGUGAGUAUAAUUUGAGCUGUCUCUUUGUGGAGUCAUCAGUGACUGUUUUAAUUUCCAUAUGUGAGCGGUGCUAUUUUUCUUUAACUUUUUUUUUCCUUAAUCCUGCCUCUUUCUGAACUAAUGGAUUGAUUCUGCUGCUCAUAAUAGCAUCACCUGAAGUGUAUUUUGGAAUUUCUGCUGCUGCUGAGAUUGAAAUUUAUCUACAGUGUGACACAUUUCUCAACAUUUUCAGAAAAGACAUAAUCUUGUAACUAUCAACCUGACAAUAAAAUUGUCUAUCUGUAAUGGAAAAUGGAGG
ensembl:lncRNA